rnacentral:lncRNA from 1 species
GGCGCCCACCGUAAGCCUCCCGGGCCUUGUGAACCUGCAAACCCAAGUCUGAGAGACGAUCCGCCUUCAGCGCUUUCCAGCUUGGCAGAGAGGCUUUCCCGGCGGGGAUCUUUGGUUGGCGCUGGCGAUGCGCGGGGAAGAAAGGCGAGGAGCGGCGUCCAGGCUGGGUGAUGUCCCAGCACGAGUAGGCGGGAUGCGCUCGCUUGGUCCUCCGGGCGCCCGGUCCCUGCCCGCGUCGCGCGCCCACCCCUGGGGACGAGAAGGCGGCCGCCUGAGGACCCCCGCCCGCGACCUCCGCGAGUCUGGAGCGCAGAGGACAGGGUCUGGCUGCUCUUUGGCCUUGGAUGGAAAGUGGGGAAUUGGGUGGGGGGCUGCGGACCCCUUAACGUGGAUUACUUGGUGUGUAUCAGCUGGGCUCAGAAGACCCACGACCUCUUCUCCAUCCGUGGAUUGAUUUGUUCUGCUUAACAGCUGGGUCGCCAAGCUGGAGGAUGGGAAGGACUGAUCCACAUUCCCACCAGGAAGUUUAGCAGAACCCCCGCGUGCCACCUGGACCCCUUGGAAGGACCUGGCUCAGGCUGGACCACCUCUUGAGAGGCAGGAGCUCUGGAUUUGAUCAAGAAUUCUUUGCUGAGCAUGGUGCCUCAUGCCUAUAAUCCCAACACUUUGGGAGGCCAGUGUGGGAGGAUCUCUUGAGCCCAGGAGUUCAAGACUAGCCUGGGCAACACAGAGAGACCCCAUCUCUAAAAUAAUAAUAAUAAUAAAAUAAAAAAUUAGCAGGGCAUGGUGGCAUGUGCCUGUAGUCCCAGCUACCCAGGAGGCUGAGGCAAGAGGAUGGCUGGAGCCUGGGAUGUUGAGGCUGCAAUGAACUGUGAUUACCCCACUGCACUCCAGCCUGGGCAAAAGAGCGAGAGACCCUGUCUCAAAUAAUAAUAAUAAUAAUAAUCUUAUUUUGGAGAAUAAAGAGACCUCUGGAUUUGAGGUGCCAUUUGGGUAGAAAGAAAAGACGUUUACACCGAGAAAUAGUCUGUGUUGCCCUGAAGGAGCAGAGGGAUGCAUCGCUGGAGGUGACCUACAGUUGAAGAAGACUCAUUAUGACAGACCUUGUCCUUCUUCCUUGUGGAAAGUGUUUCCUCUGCUGCUACUGCUCAUGAGACUCUUCCCCCUCCCUGUCCCAGGGAACCAAAGGGCUUUCUACCACACCCUUUCUUGCCCCCCGCCUCCCAUGUCUGCUGUGCCUUUGUACUCAGCAAUUCUUGUUUGCUCCAUUAUCUUCCAGCCGGAUACAGAGUGAAUAGUUAACCACACUUAGGUCAAAUAGGAUCUAAAUUUUUGUUCCUGCUCCGUGUAAAGAGGCCAGUGUUUGUGUGUUGCAAGCAGCCUUGGAAUAGUAACUCUUCUCAUUUGUUUGGGAUCUGGCCACCAAGUUCCAGAAUGAUACACGGAUCAGUGCAGAAGUUCAUCAGGCUCUCGGACCUUAGGGCUGUUGGAGAAGGCUUCAGCAGCAGAACUGAUGGUGAAGGCUCGUGUUCUCCAUCCUCAACUUUCUUUGCUUCGAUCAUACACAAGAAUACAUUUGGAAGGGCAAAAAAUGAACACUGUCGUUCAUUGCAGCCGUGUUUUGUGACACAGAUGCACAGUCUGCUGUGAAGACCUUCUCUCAAGUGGCAUUUGGGAGUCCAUGCCAGAUCAUGGUGCUUCAUGAGAGACUGACAGCUAUCAGGGGUUGUGGCACUUAGUGAGGACUCUCCUCCCCCAGUGUGUGCUGAUGACACAUACACACCUGACAAUAGCUUGAGUCUUCUCUGUUCCUUUUACUCUGUAGCCAACAUACACAUGAUUUAAAACCCUUUCUAAAUAUCUAUCAUGGUUCAUCCUUGUCCAAAUGCAGAGUCAGAGCUAUUUGUACUUCAUUAUUAUUUCCAAGGCGAAUAGUUGGCUUUCUUUUUGCAAAAAUAAUUAAAGUUUUUGUAUGUUG